rnacentral:ncRNA from 1 species
CGCUACUACCGAUUGAAUGGUUUAGCAAGGUCCUCGAUUGGUGCCGACUUGGUGGCAACACUAGGUCGGAUACUGAAAAGAAGAUCAAACUUGAUCAUUUAGAGGAAGUAAAAGUCGUAACAAGGUUUCCGUAGGUGAACCUGCGGAAGGAUCAUUA